rnacentral:rRNA from 1 species
UACGUAGUGGGCUAGCGUUGUCCGGAAUCAUUGGGCGUAAAGCGCGCGUAGGCGGCCCGGUAAGUCCGCUGUAAAAGUCAAAGGCUCAACCUUUGAAUGUCAGUGGAUACUGCCGGGCUAGAGUCCGGAAGAGGCGAGUGGAACUCCUGGUGUAGCGGUGGAAUGCGCAGAUAUCAGGAAGAACACCGACGGCGAAGGCAGCUCGCUGGGACGGUACUGACGCUGAGGCGCGAAAGCGUGGGGAGCGAACAGG